rnacentral:misc_RNA from 2 species
UAAAUAAUUUCUAUAAAGGCACUGUUGAUAACAGUGCCUUUUUUAUUGCCUGAA